CGCGGGUCGGAGACUGUAACCCCAAUUCGGAUAAUGUCUCCAGCCAAGGAGCAUCCAGGCAGCCACCAUUUGAAGGAAGAAACCAGCCGUCUCUGAGC
rfam:Monodelphis domestica chromosome 7, whole genome shotgun sequence.